CCUACGGGUGGCUGCAGUGGGGAAUCUUGCACAAUGGAGGAAACUCUGAUGCAGCGACGCCGCGUGAGUGAUGAAGCCCUUCGGGGUGUAAAGCUCUUUCGACAGGAACGAUAAUGACGGUACCUGAAGAAGAAGCUGCGGCUAACUACGUGCCAGCAGCCGCGGUAAUACGUAGGCAGCAAGCGUUGUUCGGAAUUACUGGGCGUAAAGAGUGUGUAGGCGGUGCUCUAAGUUUGGUGUGAAAUCUCCCGGCUUAACCGGGAGGCUGCAUCGAA
rnacentral:rRNA from 1 species